rnacentral:rRNA from 1 species
UACGGAGAGGCAGCAGUGGGGAAUAUUGCACAAUGGGCGAAAGCCUGAUGCAGCUAUGCCGCGUGUAUGAAGAAGGCCUUAGGGUUGUAAAGUACUUUCAUCGGGGAGGAAAAAACAAAACUAAUAAUUUUAUUUCUUGACGUUACCCGAAAAAGAAGCACCGGCUAACUCCGUGCCAGCAGCCGCGGUAAUACGGAGGGUGCUAGCGUUAAUCAGAAUUACUGGGCGUAAAGAGCACGUAGGUGGUUUUUUUAAGUCAGAUGUGAAAUCCCUGGGCUUAACCUAGGAACUGCAUUUUGAAACUGAAAUACUAGAGUAUCGUAGAGGGAGGUAGAAUUCUAGGUGUAGCGGUGAAAUGCGUAGAUAUCUGGAGGAAUACCUGUGGCGAAAGCGGCCUCCUAAACGAAUACUGACACUGAGGUGCGAAAGCGUGGGGAGCAAACAGGGAUUAGAUACC